rnacentral:tRNA from 6 species
AUGGUCAUCGGUUCGACUCCGAUAGCUGGCU